rnacentral:rRNA from 1 species
AACGAACGCUGGCGGCAUGCCUAACACAUGCAAGUCGAACGAGAUCUUCGGGUCUAGUGGCGCACGGGUGCGUAACGCGUGGGAAUCUGCCCUUUGGUUCGGAAUAACAGUUGGAAACGACUGCUAAUACCGGAUGAUGACGAAAGUCCAAAGAUUUAUCGCCAGAGGAUGAGCCCGCGUAGGAUUAGCUAGUUGGUGUGGUAAAGGCGCACCAAGGCGACGAUCCUUAGCUGGUCUGAGAGGAUGAUCAGCCACACUGGGACUGAGACACGGCCCAGACCAAUACGGGGGGAGGCAGGGGGGAAGAUUGGACAAUGGGCGAACGCCUGAUCCAGCAAUGCCGCGUGAGUGAUGAAGGCCUUAGGGUUGUAAAGCUCUUUUACCCGGGAUGAUAAGGACGGUACCGGGAGAAUAAGCUCCGGCUACCUCCGGGCAAGCCGCCGCGGUAA